GCCGCUUGCCCAAUUUUUUGGGCGUUUCCUCCCUACAACUGGCCGCGGCGCUGCCGCGGCCUUUUUUUUGUCCUUG
rnacentral:sRNA from 1 species